GGUGAGAUGGCCGAGUUGGUGAGUUAGACGAAUCAUGGCUCUUCCUUCACAUACUAAUAUAGCCCCAGGUUAUGGCGCCAGGUUCAGGAUACUGAAUCACUAUUCCUGGUCACGAAAGUGGCGUGGGUUCGAGUCCCACUCUCAUCA